GACGAACGCUGGCGGCGUGCCUAAUACAUGCAAGUCGAACGCAGUGGGGACGGGUGAGUAACACGUGGGUAACCUCCAAUCAGAGGGGAUAACACUUGGAAACAGGGGCUAAACCGAUACUGAUGGAUGGACCCGCGGUGAAUUGGCUAGUUGGUGAGGUACCGGCUCACCAAGGCCACGAUGCAUGGCCGACCGGGGAGGGUGAGCGGCAACACGGUGACUGAGCCCCGGCCCCGACUCCUACGGGAGGCAGCGGUAGGGAAUCUUCGGCAAUGGACGAAAGUCUGACCGCGCAACGCCGCUUGAGUGAAGAAGGUUUUCGGAUCGUAAAACUCUGUUGUUAGAGAAGCGGUAUCUAACCAGAAAGCCACGGCUAACUACGUGCCAGCAGCCGCGGUAAUUC
rnacentral:rRNA from 1 species